UGCCCUCACGCCCUUAGGCUUGGGUAGUGCGCUCUCAGCUGUGGCGUGCGCGUGUUCGGGUGACAGACAGACAGACAGACAGACAGACUGACUGCUGCAGCCGAGCACGAGAUGGCGCAGGCACGAAGGCUGGGGGAAUGCUGGGUGGCCUUCUUGACAGUCCUACUGGCCUGUAGCGGCGCCCUCGCUCAGGACAAUGUCUGCUCUCCGGCUAUACCAGGAGGCCUAGCCCCACCGGACUACUUCACCGUCUUCGAAAAUGAAUACACUCUAAUCCUGGAGAUGACCAAAGUGAAGUCUAACAUCACAUACA